CACGGUAUGGCGCUGAAACCAGUGAGAAAUGCUGGUCUCGUUUCAACCCGGACCUUUGGCUAUCUGUCUAUUAAUCUGUUCCAGAACCGACUAGCAAACUCACAAACAUCGACUUAAAGGUAGCAGCGAAAUUUUUCGGCAACAAGUUUGCCUGUGGAUCCAGUGUGACUGGCGAUGAUGAGAUUGUCAUACAGGGAGACGUCAAGGAUGACUUAUUCGAGGUGAUACCUGAGAAAUGGCCACAAAUUGACGAGGACUCUAUAGACGAUCUUGGAGAUCAAAAGAGAUAAUAAGGCUAUCCACUAUUACGCACGCACAAUAAUUUAAUUAUACACUAUUUCCAGUCGUGUUUAUUAUAAAUAAAAUGUACAUACGCAAAAUA